rnacentral:rRNA from 1 species
UACAGAGGUCUCGAGCGUUUGUUCGGAUUCAUUGGGCGUAAAGGGCGCGUAGGCGGCGGGGUAAGUCUGGUGUGAAAUCUAGGAGCUCAACUCCUAAACUGCACUGGAUACUGCUCUGCUAGAGGACUGGAGAGGAGACUGGAAUUCACGGUGUAGCAGUGAAAUGCGUAGAUAUCGUGAGGAAGACCAGUGGCGAAGGCGGGUCUCUGGACAGUUCCUGACGCUGAGGCGCGAAGGCCAGGGGGAGCAAACGGG